rnacentral:lncRNA from 1 species
GUGGUUUUAAUGCUGCUUCUGCUUCAUAGGUGGGGAAACUGAAGCCAUCUGGGAUUCGAGUGCCAUAGAUGACACCGGAACUUAAACGCUGUGGCUCUGAAACCAGAAGGCACAACACGGCAGCCACUGGAGAAUUCCCAGCCACUGGAAAUACUUCAGUUUUAAACCUUCAGAGAGCCGCAGGACAAAAGUGAAGCAGAAAAGAAAUGACGGGCAGUCAUGGAGAAGUGGAGAGAAGAGCAGGCCUCGUUCAUCAGGAACUUCAACAACGCACAGGCUUGACUUCUGGAAAAUGUUAAGUGAAAAGUUCUAUUCCUCUCCAAGGCUUAGGACACAGGGUCGCACCUCGUUGGAAUGGAUUAGCUGAGAAAUGAGUCCUACCUCUAAAGUUAGAAGGCCCAAAUUUAGCCAGCCCAGGAAUUGUCCUAUUAUGCUAGAUUGGAAAUCCGGUUGGCUUAGAAGAUAAAGUGGUGCCCUUGGGCAGUACCAGGCAGCACCGGGCAGCAUCAGGCAAUGCUGGGCAACACCGGGCAGCAAUCUCUUUUUGACUGAGCACUGUGGGGCAUCCAGAAUCAGUUUUUCCCAGUGAUCCCAAGGGCUCCACCAUCUUCCCUGAGAGAUUCUAGAUUAGAGCUUCAAAUUGGCUGGUGCCCUGGGUGCAGGCUUCCCUAAGGCUGCUAUACAAAGAUCCACAAAGAAAGAGGUGCUCUCCUUCUGGAGGCUGGAAAUCUAGAUCAAGAUGCUAGCAGGGCUGUUGUUCUAGGGACUUUGAACAGUGUUUUCUCCACAUCCACAUAGUGCUUUUCCUGUACAUCUGCCUCAGCAUCCAAACUCCCACUGUUUGUUGUCACACUGGUUUAGGGUUCACCCUAAUGUUCACAUUUGACAUGGUUAUCUCUAUAAAAAUCCUAUCUCCAAAUAAGGUCACAUUCUGACAAACCAGGGGGCAGAGAAUUGGCAUAUAAAUUUGAGCAAGUAACAGACAGACCCUCCUGUAGCCUGUGUUCAACCUUGUUUCCACAGCUGCCACCUUGGAGGUCGCUUCUGG